UAAAAGGCGGAUUCUCAAAACAUUCAAGCAUUAUAUUUGUGAACUUCCAGUUAAUCGUCAGAUAUAAAAACCAUUCGCAAAAUACAAAAUGAUUAAAUAUAUUUUCAUUGCAUUUCUCAUUACAAUGGUUGUGGAAAAUAGUUUACAACAAGAGUGGGAAAGUUCAGAUAUGAAACAAGAAGAUAUACCACCAGAACAAAUGGAUAAAGCUUCAGAUAUGAAACAAGAAGAUAUACCACCAGAACAAAUGGAUAAAGGUUCAGAUAUGAAACAAGAAGAUAUACCACCAGAACAAAUGGAUAAAGGUUACCGAGCCAAAUGAAAGAUGAAGUUCCAAAUUCAGGCAAGAGAGGCAGGAAAUAUGGACUAUAGGAAUAGCCAUUGCGCUGCUUCUAUUGCACUACUUAAUGUAAUUUAUGUAUUUUUCGCCACUAUAUAAAGCUUCGGCAAAUAAAUAGUUUGAAAAUCUUGAA